rnacentral:snRNA from 1 species
AUACUCUCUUAUCACUAUACACACUAAAAUUGGGACAACAGAGAUUGGCAUGAUCCUGGGCAAGCAUGACAUGUCAAUCUGUGAAGUAAUUCAUAUUCUU